rnacentral:rRNA from 1 species
CAGCAGCCGCGGUAAUACGAAGGGGGCUAGCGUUGCUCGGAAUGACUGGGCGUAAAGGGCGCGUAGGCGGUUUGUACAGUCAGACGUGAAAUUCCUGGGCUUAACCUGGGGGCUGCGUUUGAUACGUGCAGGCUUGAGUGCGGAAGAGGGUCGUGGAAUUCCCAGUGUAGAGGUGAAAUUCGUAGAUAUUGGGAAGAACACCGGUGGCGAAGGCGGCGACCUGGUCCGUGACUGACGCUGAGGCGCGAAAGCGUGGGGAGCAAACGGGAUUAGAGACCCGCGUAGUCCCUGUCUCUUAUAA